GACGAACGCUGGCGGCGUGCUUAACACAUGCAAGUCGAACGGUAAGGCUCCAGCUUGCUGGGGUACACGAGUGGCGAACGGGUGAGUAACACGUGGGUGACCUGCCCUGCACUUCGGGAUAAGCCUGGGAAACUGGGUCUAAUACCGGAUAGGACCGCACCGUGAGGGUGUGGUGGAAAGUUUUUUCGGUGUGGGAUGGGCCCGCGGCCUAUCAGCUUGUUGGUGGGGUAAUGGCCUACCAAGGCGGCGACGGGUAGCCGGCCUGAGAGGGUGGACGGCCACAUUGGGACUGAGACACGGCCCAGACUCCUACGGGAGGCAGCAGUGGGGAAUAUUGCACAAUGGGCGGAAGCCUGAUGCAGCGACGCCGCGUGGGGGAUGACGGCCUUCGGGUUGUAUACUCCUUUCACCAUCGACGAAGGGUUUCUGACGGUAGAUGGAGAAGAAGCACCGGCUAACUACGUGCCAGCAGCCGCGGUAAUACGUAGGGUGCGAGCGUUGUCCGGAAUUACUGGGCGUAAAGAGCUCGUAGGUGGUUUGUCGCGUCGUCUGUGAAAUUCCGGGGCUUAACUCCGGGCGUGCAGGCGAUACGGGCAUAGCUUGAGUACUGUAGGGGAGACUGGAAUUCCUGGUGUAGCGGUGAAAUGCGCAGAUAUCAGGAGGAACACCGGUGGCGAAGGCGGGUCUCUGGGCAGUAACUGACGCUGAGGAGCGAAAGCAUGGGGAGCGAACAGGAUUAGAUACCCUGGUAGUCCAUGCCGUAAACGGUGGGCGCUAGGUGUGGGUUUCCUUCCACGGGAUCCGUGCCGUAGCUAACGCAUUAAGCGCCCCGCCUGGGGAGUACGGCCGCAAGGCUAAAACUCAAAGGAAUUGACGGGGGCCCGCACAAGCGGCGGAGCAUGUGGAUUAAUUCGAUGCAACGCGAAGAACCUUACCUGGGCUUGACAUAUACAGGAUCGCGCCAGAGAUGGUGUUUCCCUUGUGGCUUGUAUACAGGUGGUGCAUGGUUGUCGUCAGCUCGUGUCGUGAGAUGUUGGGUUAAGUCCCGCAACGAGCGCAACCCUUGUCUUAUGUUGCCAGCACGUUGUGGUGGGGACUCGUAAGAAACUGCCGGGGUUAACUCGGAGGAAGGUGGGGAUGACGUCAAAUCAUCAUGCCCCUUAUGUCCAGGGCUUCACACAUGCUACAAUGGUCGGUACAGUGGGUUGCCAGUCCGUGAGGGCGAGCUAAUCCCGCAAAGCCGGUCUCAGUUCGGAUCGGGGUCUGCAACUCGACCCCGUGAAGUCGGAGUCGCUAGUAAUCGCAGAUCAGCAACGCUGCGGUGAAUACGUUCCCGGGCCU
rnacentral:rRNA from 1 species